UGCACUGCCGGCAGCCAUCUCUCUGCAACUUUCACAUGGUUGCCCACUGAAGCUAAGCAGGGCUGCGCCCGGUAAGUACCUGGAUGGGAGACCACAUGGGAAAGCUAGGAAGUGGUGUUA
rnacentral:rRNA from 1 species